GGAGGUAACUUGAUAUUUUACUUUGAGAUAGGUCGGUCAUCAUCCAAUGAUUGUUGCAUGCCCCCGUGAAGGUAGAGGACGGAAAUUUUGGGGAGACAGUAAUUUGGAAAGCAAAUUUUAGGGUCGUUCAAUCCAGCUUGAUCCUGUUGGUUUUCUAACUCUCGAGUUUGAUGAUGGUGAAGUUUUUAAGUGGAGCAAGGUCACAACUUUUGUGUUCUACCAAUCACUAAUCACCAAAAAUUGGACUGUUCCCUUUCAGGAGAUAAUUGAUAUGGAUGAUGAAAUAUAUGAAGCUGUUGCAGGAAGUGACUUUGUCAUUACUAGAGUUGCAUUUCGUGACAACUCUUCAAAGUACUACAUAAAUGACCGUAGAAGUAAUUUUAUAGAGGUCACUAAGAAAUUGAAAGGAAAAGGAGUAGA